rnacentral:rRNA from 1 species
CGGUUGAUCNUGCCCGGAGGUCACUGCUAUCGGGGUUCGAUUAAGCCAUGCGAGUUGAGAGGGUUUAGACCCUCAGCGGACUGCUCAGUAACACGUGGAUAACNUGCCNUAAGGUGGAGAAUAACCCCGGGAAACUGGGGAUAAUACUCCAUAGAUUAGAGAUACUGGAAUGUUCUUUAAUCGAAAGUUGAGGCGCCUUAGGAUGGAUCUGCGGUCGAUUAGGUUGUUGUUGGGGUAACGGCCCAACAAGCCUGUAAUCGAUACGGGUUGUGGGAGCAAGAGCCCGGAGAUGGAAUCUGAGACACGAUUCCAGGCCCUACGGGGCGCAGCAGGCGCGAAAACUUUACAAUGCAGGAAACUGUGAUAAGGGAACCCCGAGUGCCCGUAUACGCGGGCUGUCCAGGUGUUUAAAACGCAUCUGAAGAAAGGGCCGGGCAAGACCGGUGCCAGCCGCCGCGGUAAUACCGGCGGCUCGAGUGGUGGCCACUAUUAUUGGGCUUAAAGCGUCCGUAGCUGGACCCUUAAGUCUCUUGGGAAAUCCGCCGGCUUAACCGACGGGCGUCUAAGAGAUACCGGGGGUCUAGGGACCGGGAGAGGUGAGAGGUACUCCGGGGGUAGGAGUGAAAUCCUGUAAUCCCCGGGGGACCACCGAUGGCGAAGGCAUCUCACCAGAACGGCUCCGACAGUGAGGGACGAAAGCUGGGGGAGCGAACCGGAUUAGAUACCCGGGUAGUCCCAGCCGUAAACUAUGCGCGUUAGGUGUACUGGUGACCACGAGUCACUGGGGUGCCGAAGGGAAACCGUGAAACGUGCCGCCUGGGAAGUACGGUCGCAAGGCUGAAACUUAAAGGAAUUGGCGGGGGAGCACAAGGGCGAAUUCUGCAGAUAUCCAUCAC